ACAGUGUUCAUCUUGUUUUGAUGGAAAUAAUGGGCCAAUGAACGAGAACAAGAGAAAGUAUUGCUGAGAUAAGCGGAAGUGAGGGCAAACCUACAAAGGAGACCAGAGCUGAGGAGCCAGCAGAAGAUGGCGGAAAUGUCUGUGGAAGAUUAAAGAGUUAAAUACGUCUCAACUGCUGGGCCUGGUGAUGUAAGUCAGAGAUUCAGGAGGCAGGAGCAAGAGGAUCCAUCAAAAGCUCAAGGUGAACUGUCUGAGCUUCAUAAAUCAUAUGUUUUACGGCAUUUGAUGAAGUCAGAGAGACCUAGAUUCACAAUGACAAUUUCUUAAAAACCAGGCAUCUGUGUAUAAGACUUUUAGGCUUGAUCCAAUCUGGGCAGUUUCAAUCAAUGGAGUUAUGAGGUGCUGCAGCUUGAAGCCAGGGCCUCACACAUGAUAGACAAGUGCUUUACCAAAGAGCUACAACCCUCACUUGCAG